UACAGGGGGGGGCAAGCGUUUGUUCGGAAUUACUGGGCGUAAAGGGUGCGUAGGCGGCUUGGUAAGUCCGCUCUGAAAGCCCGGGGGCUCAACCCCCGGGGAGGCGGGUGGGAUACUGUCAAGCUCGAGUCCGGAAGAGGCGAGUGGAAUUCCUGGUGUAGCGGUGAAAUGCGCAGAUAUCAGGAGGAACACCAAUGGCGAAGGCAGCUCGCUGGGACGUGACUGACGCUGAGACGCGAAAGCAUGGGGAGUGAACAGG
rnacentral:rRNA from 1 species